rnacentral:rRNA from 1 species
UAAGGAAUAUUGGUCAAUGGACGAAAGUCUGAACCAGCCAUGCCGCGUGGAGGAGAAGGUCCUCUGGAUUGUAAACUUCUUUUAUCUGGGACGAAAAAAGGUCUUUCUAGAUCGUCUGACGGUACCAGAUGAAUAAGCACCGGCUAACUCCGUG